rnacentral:misc_RNA from 1 species
GUAAAACAGAGCCCAAGAAAAUCAAGAGAAGUUAAUUCUGAGAGAGAAAGAAUGUGAUAAAAUAAUAAAAAUAGAGGGGGGUAUUCUGUGGCUUUGGAUUGUUCUGGCAAAGCGUGCCUGCCAGCUUCACUCGGACUAGGGUGGGGGUCUGGCUAAGAAAGAAAUGUCUUGCUCUUGAAAAUUCGAAGAAAAAUAUAAACUAGGGGUAGCAGCAGUCAGCAAGUCAUUAAAGCCAAGGCCCUUGUCUUGGUUUGCCGGUGAGGUUUGACAAGGAAAGUUUGAGAAGCUGAUGAUGGAGGUUUGGAGAAGGGGUCAUCUGGUUGUGACAGUGAUAAUCUGCAUUCUGGGAUGCAUCAACAGUGAAACAGAUCCAAAUGAUGCUUCUGCUUUAAG